rnacentral:rRNA from 1 species
GGUUAAGCGACUAAGCGUACACGGUGGAUGCCCUGGCAGUCAGAGGCGAUGAAGGACGUGCUAAUCUGCGAAAAGCGUCGGUAAGGUGAUAUGAACCGUUACAGCCGGCGAUGUCCGAAUGGGGAAACCCAGUGUGAUUCGUCACACUAUCGUUAACUGAAUACAUAGGUUAACGAGGCGAACCGGGGGAACUGAAACAUCUAAGUACCCCGAGGAAAAGAAAUCAACCGAGAUUCCCCCAGUAGCGGCGAGCGAACGGGGAGCAGCCCAGAGUCUGAAUCAGCUUGUGUGUUAGUGGAACGGUCUGGAAAGUCCGACGGUACAGGGUGAUAGUCCCGUACACCAAAAUGCACAGGCUGUGAACUCGAAGAGUAGGGCGGGACACGUGGUAUCCUGUCUGAAUAUGGGGGGACCAUCCUCCAAGGCUAAAUACUCCUGACUGACCGAUAGUGAACCAGUACCGUGAGGGAAAGGCGAAAAGAACCCCGGCGAGGGGAGUGAAAAAGAACCUGAAACCGUGUACGUACAAGCAGUGGGAGCACCUUCGGGUGUGACUGCGUACCUUUUGUAUAAUGGGUCAGCGACUUAUAUUCUGUAGCAAGGUUAACCGUAUAGGGGAGCCGCAGGGAAACCGAGUCUUAACUGGGCGUUAAGUUGCAGGGUAUAGACCCGAAACCCGGUGAUCUAGCCAUGGGCAGGUUGAAGGUUGGGUAACACUAACUGGAGGACCGAACCGACUAAUGUUGAAAAAUUAGCGGAUGACUUGUGGCUGGGGGUGAAAGGCCAAUCAAACCGGGAGAUAGCUGGUUCUCCCCGAAAGCUAUUUAGGUAGCGCCUCGUGAAUUCAUCUUCGGGGGUAGAGCACUGUUUCGGCUAGGGGGUCAUCCCGACUUACCAACCCGAUGCAAACUACGAAUACCGAAGAAUGUUAUCACGGGAGACACACGGCGGGUGCUAACGUCCGUCGUGAAGAGGGAAACAACCCAGACCGCCAGCUAAGGUCCCAAAGUCAUGGUUAAGUGGGAAACGAUGUGGGAAGGCACAGACAGCCAGGAUGUUGGCUUAGAAGCAGCCAUCAUUUAAAGAAAGCGUAAUAGCUCACUGGUCGAGUCGGCCUGCGCGGAAGAUGUAACGGGGCUAAACCAUGCACCGAAGCUGCGGCAGCGACACUAUGUGUUGUUGGGUAGGGGAGCGUUCUGUAAGCCUGCGAAGGUGACCUGUGAGGGUUGCUGGAGGUAUCAGAAGUGCGAAUGCUGACAUAAGUAACGAUAAAGCGGGUGAAAAGCCCGCUCGCCGGAAGACCAAGGGUUCCUGUCCAACGUUAAUCGGGGCAGGGUGAGUCGACCCCUAAGGCGAGGCCGAAAGGCGUAGUCGAUGGGAAACAGGUUAAUAUUCCUGUACUUGGUGUUACUGCGAAGGGGGGACGGAGAAGGCUAUGUUAGCCGGGCGACGGUUGUCCCGGUUUAAGCAUGUAGGCUGAUUGUCCAGGCAAAUCCGGAUAAUCAAGGCUGAGGUGUGAUGACGAGGCACUACGGUGCUGAAGUAACAAAUGCCCUGCUUCCAGGAAAAGCCUCUAAGCAUCAGGUAACAUUAAAUCGUACCCCAAACCGACACAGGUGGUCAGGUAGAGAAUACCAAGGCGCUUGAGAGAACUCGGGUGAAGGAACUAGGCAAAAUGGUGCCGUAACUUCGGGAGAAGGCACGCUGGUGUGUAGGUGAAGUCCCUGCGGAUGGAGCUGAGACCAGUCGAAGAUACCAGCUGGCUGCAACUGUUUAUUAAAAACACAGCACUGUGCAAACACGAAAGUGGACGUAUACGGUGUGACGCCUGCCCGGUGCCGGAAGGUUAAUUGAUGGGGUUAUCCGUAAGGAGAAGCUCUUGAUCGAAGCCCCGGUAAACGGCGGCCGUAACUAUAACGGUCCUAAGGUAGCGAAAUUCCUUGUCGGGUAAGUUCCGACCUGCACGAAUGGCGUAAUGAUGGCCAGGCUGUCUCCACCCGAGACUCAGUGAAAUUGAACUCGCUGUGAAGAUGCAGUGUACCCGCGGCAAGACGGAAAGACCCCGUGAACCUUUACUAUAGCUUGACACUGAACAUUGAGCCUUGAUGUGUAGGAUAGGUGGGAGGCUUUGAAGCGUGGACGCCAGUCUGCGUGGAGCCAACCUUGAAAUACCACCCUUUAAUGUUUGAUGUUCUAACGUUGGCCCCUUACCGGGGUUGCGGACAGUGUCUGGUGGGUAGUUUGACUGGGGCGGUCUCCUCCCAAAGCGUAACGGAGGAGCACGAAGGUUAGCUAAUCCUGGUCGGACAUCAGGAGGUUAGUGCAAUGGCAUAAGCUAGCUUGACUGCGAGCGUGACGGCGCGAGCAGGUGCGAAAGCAGGUCAUAGUGAUCCGGUGGUUCUGAAUGGAAGGGCCAUCGCUCAACGGAUAAAAGGUACUCCGGGGAUAACAGGCUGAUACCGCCCAAGAGUUCAUAUCGACGGCGGUGUUUGGCACCUCGAUGUCGGCUCAUCACAUCCUGGGGCUGAAGUAGGUCCCAAGGGUAUGGCUGUUCGCCAUUUAAAGUGGUACGCGAGCUGGGUUUAGAACGUCGUGAGACAGUUCGGUCCCUAUCUGCCGUGGGCGCUGGAGAAUUGAGGGGGGCUGCUCCUAGUACGAGAGGACCGGAGUGGACGCAUCACUGGUGUUCGGGUUGUCAUGCCAAUGGCACUGCCCGGUAGCUAAAUGCGGAAGAGAUAAGUGCUGAAAGCAUCUAAGCACGAAACUUGCCCCGAGAUGAGUUCUCACUGAGACUUUAAGUCUCCUGAAGGAACGUUAAAGACGAUGACGUUGAUAGGCCGGGUGUGUAAGCGCAGCGAUGCGUUGAGCUAACCGGUACUAAUGAACCGUGAGGCUUAACCUU